rnacentral:rRNA from 1 species
UACGUAGGGUGCAAGCGUUAAUCGGAAUUACUGGGCGUAAAGCGUGCGCAGGCGGUGAUGGUAAAGACAGAUGUGAAAUCCCCGGGCUCAACCUGGGAACUGCAUUUGUGACUGCAUCGCUGGAGGUACGGCAGAGGGGGAUGGAAUUCCGCGUGUAGCAGUGAAAUGCGUAGAUAUGCGGAGGAACACCGAUGGCGAAGGCAAUCCCCUGGGCCUGUACUGACGCUCAUGCACGAAAGCGUGGGGAGCAAACAGG